rnacentral:rRNA from 1 species
AUUGAACGCUGGCGGCAUGCUUUACACAUGCAAGUCGAACGGUAACAGGUUAAGCUGACGAGUGGCGAACGGGUGAGUAAUGCAUCGGAACGUGCCCGGUCGUGGGGGAUAACGCAGCGAAAGCUGCGCUAAUACCGCAUACGAUCUAAGGAUGAAAGCGGGGGACCGUAAGGCCUCGCGCGAUCGGCGCGGCCGAUGUCAGAUUAGGUAGUUGGUGGGGUAAAGGCUCACCAAGCCAACGAUCUGUAGCUGGUCUGAGAGGACGACCAGCCACACUGGGACUGAGACACGGCCCAGACUCCUACGGGAGGCAGCAGUGGGGAAUUUUGGACAAUGGGCGAAGGCCUGAUCCAGCAAUGCCGCGUGCAGGAAGAAGGCCUUCGGGUUGUAAACUGCUUUUGUACGGAGCGAAAAGGUCUCCUCUAAUACAGGGGGCUCACGACGGUACCGUAAGAAUAAGCACCGGCUAACUACGUGCCAGCCGCCGCGGUAAAAC